rnacentral:lncRNA from 1 species
UCCUUCUCAGAUAUUCCUCUCAGGAGAGACAAUACUAGUUUUUACCCUUGAACUCUGGCAGGAAGAUCUAUUAGUAUUGAGUUGUCUUUUUAUUUGGCUUUCUUUUGUUAGCCCCUCUGUUUAAUCCACCCACAAAAGGUGAGAACUCCUGUGUUUUGAUAGUGCUAUAGGGCUGAGUUGUCACCUUUUUCCUUUUUCACAAUAAUGGGCCUCAAGGGUCACAAUGGUGUUCACACCUAGGCAUUUUAGACCAUAAAUAUCUUGCCCUUCAAUCCAGUAGGGAGGAGAUGAUCUGGUUUUUUAUUGGAGACAUAUAGUAUCAAUAUUGUUUUAAAAUAUCUUCUUUGAUGUCACAGGUCUCUGAGAAGAGGGAAAGAAAAGUCUACAUGGGGAUAAAAGGGUAUCAAAAUAGAAGUGUUUCAUAUUAUUCUCCUCUCUAUGGUGCACCAAUUGUGAACUGGAAAUGUUUAACAACUGCCUCUCAAAAAAAGGAUUUAAAAUUCUGGACUUCUAUGAAGCAUAUGUGGAUACCUGAUGCUGAUUUUUGAACUGUGUCCAAAACGGUGAAGUGAAUAUGGUUUGAUUGAUUGCAUUGUAUGACAUGGAAAGAGUAUGACCAAAGCCACCCCCUCCCCCAUUUGACAAGCAGAUAAAUAAGACUACUGAUUUUGUAAGAGCAGAAAAUCAGUGUCACUGGAUAUAAUAAUGACAGUAUUGGUUCAUCACAUCAUUGACAGCCUUUCUCCCAUUAUUUUGUGUUAUAGUAUAAUUAAUAAGAAACUUGGAAAAGAUUAUACCGUACUAUAAGUCUAAGGCUAGAUUGUAUUCAUUAAGAUUCCUAAAAUUUCUAUCAUUUUAUGAUAGAAUGAAACUUCAUUAGAGAUUAUAAUAAUGUCCUUUAUGCAUGAAUUGUGAGAAUGUGAAUGUCUUAGGUAGUACCCAUACUAAUCAACAAUUAUUGAAAAUCUCUCAUUGAUUUAAACAAUAGCUAUUCCUCAUUCAGUGAGGGUAUAGGAAACAUAAAAAUUAAUUGAAUAGAGGAGUGGCAUGGUCAGAUAAACACUUUCAAAAAGUCAUUUUGCUUCCUGAUUGGAGGAUGGACUAGAAUAUGGAAGAAUUUGAUGUUGGGAUAAAUAUUAACACAUCUUUACAAUUGUAAUGAUAAGAUGGGAAAAUAGGCCUGAACUAUCCUGGUUGUGUAAAUGAAGAGAAAAAGAAAUAUUUAUGAGAUUUUGUAGAAAUAUGAACAAUGAAAUUCAGCAAUUAAUUCAACUAAAGUGAGACAUUAAGAAAAAUACUGAGGUUACACCCUGAGUGAUUAGAAAGAUGGUGAGGCAUUUAACAAAACUAAGAAGGUUUAGAUGAUGAGUUUGUGGGAGAAUGAAAGCAAGAUCUAUUUUGGACAUUGUAAAUAUUGUUUGGGGUUGGUUUUUUGAGGUGUAGGGUAAUUGGUUUCAAGAAUUCACACUAUUCUUUUCUCUUGGUAUCCAUCAUGUAGCAUCCUUUCAGGCUUGGUUUGUUUGUUUUGCUUUGUUUUUGUAAGGGGAAAAGGGGGUUAUUUUUAAAAGGGUUGGACUGGAUAAUUUAAAAGUGUGGUUGCCAGGAACUUAAUUUAUUCCAAAGAGAUUUAUUUAUAAUUUAUUUAUAAAACUUAGAAAGAGUGAAGUAAGAAAAUCAGAGAGAGGAUAGAGUAAGAUAUCUAACUUAAGCAUUAAGUAACUUACUCCUGGCCCCGAGCAGGGAGAGUUGGUCCUUAGGCUUUGGCAAAGCCAAGGACCUGGGGAAGUCUCUUCAGAAAAAUCCAGCAGUUGAGUCAUCUUUUUUACUCACCACCACAUGUCAGUUCAAAGGAAGAUAUUUUAGAACAGUCUCACCAAGAAACAGGGUCUCAGGUCCAGUCAGCACAUUCUUCACUAGCCUCCAUUUCAAAGAAUAAAGAACUGCCAGUAGAACUGCA